GAUGAACGCUGGCGGCGUGCCUAAUACAUGCAAGUCGAGCGAACGGACGAGAAGCUUGCUUCUCUGAUGUUAGCGGCGGACGGGUGAGUAACACGUGGAUAACCUACCUAUAAGACUGGGAUAACUUCGGGAAACCGGAGCUAAUACCGGAUAAUAUUUUGAACCGCAUGGUUCAAAAGUGAAAGACGGUCUUGCUGUCACUUAUAGAUGGAUCCGCGCUGCAUUAGCUAGUUGGUAAGGUAACGGCUUACCAAGGCAACGAUGCAUAGCCGACCUGAGAGGGUGAUCGGCCACACUGGAACUGAGACACGGUCCAGACUCCUACGGGAGGCAGCAGUAGGGAAUCUUCCGCAAUGGGCGAAAGCCUGACGGAGCAACGCCGCGUGAGUGAUGAAGGUCUUCGGAUCGUAAAACUCUGUUAUUAGGGAAGAACAUAUGUGUAAGUAACUGUGCGCAUCUUGACGGUACCUAAUCAGAAAGCCACGGCUAACUACGU
rnacentral:rRNA from 1 species